rnacentral:rRNA from 1 species
UACGUAGGGUGCGAGCGUUAAUCGGAAUUACUGGGCGUAAAGCGCGCGCAGGCGGUUUCUUAAGUCUGAUGUGAAAGCCCUGGGCUCAACCUGGGAAUGGCAUUGGAUACUGGCGACCUAGAGUGCGGUAGAGGGGUGUGGAAUUCCCGGUGUAGCAGUGAAAUGCGUAGAUAUCGGGAGGAACAUCUGUGGCGAAGGCGACACCCUGGACCAGCACUGACACUGAGGCACGAAAGCGUGGGGAGCAAACAGG